AACGGCCAUACCAUGCUGAAUAUACCGGUUCUCGUUAGAUCACCGAAGUCAAGCAUCGUUGGGCGCGGUCAGUAUACUUGGGUGGGUGACCACCACCUGGGAACACCGCGUGCCGUU